GACGGUUUGGCCGAGUGGUCUAAGGCGCCAGAUUUAGGCUCUGGUGAAAGGCGUGGGUUCAAAUCCCACAGCCGUCA
rnacentral:tRNA from 1 species